rnacentral:rRNA from 1 species
AACGAACGCUGGCGGCAUGCCUAACACAUGCAAGUCGAACGAGAUCUUCGGGUCUAGUGGCGCACGGGUGCGUAACGCGUGGGAAUCUGCCCUUUGGUUCGGAAUAACAGUUGGAAACGACUGCUAAUACCGGAUGAUGACGAAAGUCCAAAGAUUUAUCGCCAGAGGAUGAGCCCGCGUAGGAUUAGCUAGUUGGUGUGGUAAAGGCGCACCAAGGCGACGAUCCUUAGCUGGUCUGAGAGGAUGAUCAGCCACACUGGGACUGAGACACGGCCCAGACUCCUACGGGAGGCAGCAGUGGGGAAUAUUGGACAAUGGGCGAAAGCCUGAUCCAGCAAUGCCGCGUGAGUGAUGAAGGCCUUAGGGUUGUAAAGCUCUUUUACCCGGGAUGAUAAUGACAGUACCGGGAGAAUAAGCUCCGGCUAACUCCGUGCCAGCAGCCGCCGUAA